rnacentral:rRNA from 1 species
ACUCAAAUGAAUUGACGGGGGCCCGCACAAGCGGUGGAGCAUGUGGUUUAAUUCGACGCAACGCGAAGAACCUUACCUAGGCUUGACAUGCACGGGAAACUCUCUGGAAACAGGGGGCCCUCUUCGGAGUCCGUGCACAGGUGCUGCAUGGCUGUCGUCAGCUCGUGUCGUGAGAUGUUGGGUUAAGUCCCGCAACGAGCGCAACCCCCGCGUCCAGUUGCCAGCGGGCGCCGAGAGGCGUGCCGGGGACUCUGGAGGGACUGCCGGUGCCAAACCGGAGGAAGGUGGGGACGACGGCAAGUCAUCAUGGUCCUUACGUCUAGGGCUACACACGUGCUACAAUGGGCGGGACAGCGGGUCGCGAGGCCGUGAGGCGGAGCCAAUCCCUGAAACCCACCCUCAGUGCGGAUUGGAGGCUGCAACCCGCCUCCAUGAAGCUGGAAUCGCUAGUAAUCGCGGAUCAGCUACGCCGCGGUGAAUACGUUCCCGGGCCUUGUACACACCGCCCGU